rnacentral:rRNA from 1 species
AAUAGAUACCCUGGUAGUCCACGCCGUAAACGGUGGGCACUAGGUGUGGGCAGCAUUCCACGUUGUCCGUGCCGUAGCUAACGCAUUAAGUGCCCCGCCUGGGGAGUACGGCCGCAAGGCUAAAACUCAAAGGGAAUUGACGGGGCCCGCACAAGCGGCGGAGCAUGUGGCUUAAUUCGACGCAACGCGAAGAACCUUACCAAGGCUUGACAUACACCGGAAACAUCCAGAGAUGGGUGCCCCCUUGUGGUCGGUGUACAGGUGGUGCAUGGCUGUCGUCAGCUCGUGUCGUGAGAUGUUGGGUUAAGUCCCGCAACGAGCGCAACCCUUGUCCCGUGUUGCCAGCAGGCCCUUGUGGUGCUGGGGACUCACGGGGAGACCGCCGGGGUCAACGUCGGAGGAAGGUGGGGACGACGUCAAGUCAUCAUGCCCCUUAUGUCUUGGGCUGCACACGUGCUACAAUGGCCGGUACAAGAGCUGCGAUACCGUGAGGUGGAGCGAAUCUCAAAAGCCGGUCUCAGUUCGGAUUGGGGUCUG